CCAAACUUGGUCAUUUAGAGGAAGUAAAAGUCGUAACAAGGUUUCCGUAGGUGAACCUGCGGAAGGAUCAUUAUCGAAUUCCACAUAAUGGAGAGGGAUGAGUGGGAAACCAGUUGGUCCGCUCUUGAGCGGGGCUUCUGCGAGUAAGCUCUCCUUUACCACACCCUUGUCUUUUGCGUACUACUUGUUUCCUCGGCAGGCUUGCUUGCUGUUUGGACACUAUUAAACUCUUUUUGUAAUUGCAAUUAGCGUCUGAAUAAACUAUAAUAGUUACAACUUUCAACAACGGAUCUCUUGGUUCUGGCAUCGAUGAAGAACGCAGC
rnacentral:misc_RNA from 1 species